GGAAGCGCCCAGCUCGCUGGUGGGGCUCCCGGACUUCAAAUCCGGCGUGGGGCGUUAAAACCGUCUCAGGUGGGUUCGAUUCCCAUGCGCUUCCGCCA
rnacentral:tRNA from 1 species